rnacentral:rRNA from 1 species
CCUACGGGUGGCACCAGUGGGAAUAUUGCACAAUGGGCGCAAGCCUGAUGCAGCCAUGCCGCGUGUAUGAAGAAGGCCUUCGGGUUGUAAAGUACUUUCAGCGAGGAGGAAGGCGAUAAGGUUAAUAACCUUGUCGAUUGACGUUACUCGCAGAAGAAGCACCGGCUAACUCCGUGCCAGCAGCCGCGGUAAUACGGAGGGUGCAAGCGUUAAUCGGAAUUACUGGGCGUAAAGCGCACGCAGGCGGUCUGUCAAGUCGGAUGUGAAAUCCCCUGGCUCAACCUGGGAACUGCAUUCGAAACUGGCAGGCUAGAGUUUUGUAGAGGGGGGUAGAAUUCCAGGUGUAGCGGUGAGAUGCGUAGAGAUCUGGAGGAAUACCGGUGGCGAAGGCGGUCCCCUGGACAAAGACUGACGCUCAGGUGCGAAAGCGUGGGGAGCAAACAGGAUUAGAUACCCGCGUAGUC